UCAGUCGGCCGGACGGCCGCUCCGGCAGGUGCCGAAAGGCCGCCGGGGAGGAAAGUCCGGGCUCCCUUGACAUACGGUGCCGGAUAACGUCCGGCGGGGGUGACCCCAGGGAAAGUGCCACAGAGAACGAACCGCUCUGCUUCGCCUUCGGGCUUCGCAGAGUAAGGGUGAAAAGGUGCGGUAAGGGCGCACCGCGGGUCCGGCAACGGAGCCGGCAUGGCAAACCCCACCGGGAGCAAAACCGAAUAGGGACGGCAAAUGCGGGCCGAUCGCGCAAGCGAUAACGCCGCGGGGCGAUGUCAGGCCCGCCGUCCGGGUAGGUUGCUCGAGGCCAUGUGCAAACAUGGUCCCAGAGGAAUGGCCGUCACGUAUCGUUCGCGCAAGCGGACGGUGCCUUACAGAACCCGGCUUACAGGCCGGCUGAUAUC
rnacentral:RNase_P_RNA from 1 species